rnacentral:rRNA from 1 species
GAAGGGAGCUUGCUCCCGGAUGUUAGCGGCGGACGGGUGAGUAACACGUGGGUAACCUGCCUGUAAGACUGGGAUAACUCCGGGAAACCGGAGCUAAUACCGGAUAGUUCCUUGAACCGCAUGGUUCAAGGAUGAAAGACGGUUUCGGCUGUCACUUACAGAUGGACCCGCGGCGCAUUAGCUAGUUGGUGGGGUAAUGGCUCACCAAGGCGACGAUGCGUAGCCGACCUGAGAGGGUGAUCGGCCACACUGGGACUGAGACACGGCCCAGACUCCUACGGGAGGCAGCAGUAGGGAAUCUUCCGCAAUGGACGAAAGUCUGACGGAGCAACGCCGCGUGAGUGAUGAAGGUUUUCGGAUCGUAAAGCUCUGUUGUUAGGGAAGAACAAGUGCGAGAGUAACUGCUCGCACCUUGACGGUACCUAACCAGAAAGCCACGGCUAACUACGUGCCAGCAGCCGCGGUAAUACGUAGGUGGCAAGCGUUGUCCGGAAUUAUUGGGCGUAAAGGGCUCGCAGGCGGUUUCUUAAGUCUGAUGUGAAAGCCCCCGGCUCAACCGGGGAGGGUCAUUGGAAACUGGGAAACUUGAGUGCAGAAGAGGAGAGUGGAAUUCCACGUGUAGCGGUGAAAUGCGUAGAGAUGUGGAGGAACACCAGUGGCGAAGGCGACUCUCUGGUCUGUAACUGACGCUGAGGAGCGAAAGCGUGGGGAGCGAACAGGAUUAGAUACCCUGGUAGUCCACGCCGUAAACGAUGAGUGCUAAGUGUUAGGGGGUUUCCGCCCCUUAGUGCUGCAGCUAACGCAUUAAGCACUCCGCCUGGGGAGUAC